rnacentral:rRNA from 1 species
UACGGGGGGGGCAAGCGUUGUUCGGAAUUAUUGGGCGUAAAGGGUGCGUAGGCGGUCUGACAAGUCUGAUGGGAAAUCUAUGGGCUCAACCCAUAGUCUGCAUCGGAAACUGUCGGGCUGGAGUAUGGGAGAGGUGAGUGGAAUUUCCGGUGUAGCGGUGAAAUGCGUAGAUAUCGGAAGGAACACCUGUGGCGAAAGCGGCUCACUGGACCAUUACUGACGCUGAUGCACGAAAGCUAGGGGAGCAAACAGG